rnacentral:rRNA from 1 species
UGGGGAAUCUUGGACAAUGGGCGCAAGCCUGAUCCAGCCAUGCCGCGUGGAUGAUGAAGGCCUUAGGGUUGUAAAAUCCUUUCGUUGGGGACGAUAAUGACGGUACCCAAAGAAGAAGCUCCGGCUAACUUCGUGCCAGCAGCCGCGGUAAUACGAAGGGGGCUAGCGUUGUUCGGAUUUACUGGGCGUAAAGCGCGUGUAGGCGGACUUGUAAGUUGGGGGUGAAAUCCCGAGGCUCAACCUCGGAACUGCCUCCAAAACUACAAAUCUGGACCUAAGUAGAGGCAAGUGGAAUUGCGAGUGUAGAGGUGAAAUUCGUAGAUAUUCGCAGGAACACCAGUGGCGAAGGCGACUUGCUGGACUUAUGGUGACGCUGAGACGCGAAAGCGUGGGGAGCAAACAGGAUUAGAUACCGGUGUAGUCCCUGAGCGGGCUGGCAAGGCGCAU